AUUGAACGCUGGCGGCAGGCCUAACACAUGCAAGUCGAGCGGAGCGGCGGACGGGUGAGUAAUGCCUAUGUAUCUGCCUGGUAGUGGGGGAUAACGUCCGGAACCGGGCGCUAAUACCGCAUACUAUCAGAUGAGCCUCGGUCGGAUUAGCUAGUUGGUGGGGUAAAGGCCAACCAAGGCAACGAUCCGUAACUGGUCUGAGAGGAUGAUUAGUCACACUGGAACUGAGACACGGUCCAGACUCCUACGGGAGGCAGCAGUGGGGAAUAUGGGACAAUGGGCGAAAGCCUGAUCCAGCCAUGCCGCGUGUGUGAAGAAGGUCUUCGGAUUGUAAAGCACUUUAAGUUGGGAGGCGGUACCAGCAGAAUAAGCACCGGCUAACUUCGUGCCAGCCGCCGCGGUAAUUC
rnacentral:rRNA from 1 species